AUUUUAGUAAAGUUGCUAAAAAAAGUGGCUACAUUUAGUUUGUUGCCAAAUUUUGGUAACUAUAUAAGAAAUCUUGCCAACAUUUUUGGUAAGGUUUUUUUUGGCAGCAAAGUGAACAGGCCCUAAAAUCUAAAUGCGCCUAAACACGACAUGCAUGUUAAUAUCUACAAAGUCGUUAUAUAUAUAAAGAGUCAUCAGGAGUACACGUUAGACAUGCAAAUUCCUUAUAUUUUAGGAUAAAAUUCGAAUCCUUCAUGAAUGGAAACGGAGGAAUCCUUUUGUCCUAAACAAAAAAGAAACAAAAAAGAGGAUAAAAUUUUUAUAUUGAAGCUAAGAGUAGCGGGCCUCAUGGCCCAGGAGGCCAUUUCACCAAGCCCAGUCCUCGAGCCCGCGUAACUGCAAAAGGCCAUCUCGCCGCCGGCGCCGCCGCCGCCGUCGUCGUCCUUCCCCCCGGCCACCGCGUGCGCCCGCGCGCUCGCGAUGCCCCUCGCUUCCUAUGCCCCGCCCCGCCGUAAGCGGAGCGACCUCGAAAGGCGGCGUGCGUCGUCGUGCUUGCGCCGCGCCGCGCGCGCUACCCGGCAUUUCCCGCCGCCGGCCGUGAGCUCCGGAUCGCGUCCCCCCUCGCCGCCGAAGCCGAGAAUGGAAGUGGCAGGGCAGGGGGGCGGCGUCGGCGUCGGCGCCGGGGAAGGUGCUCGUCGCGGGAGGUUUCCUAGGUGCUGGAGCGCCCCAACGCCGGCCUCGUCCUCAUCACCACCGCUCGCUUCUACGCCGUCGUCCUCCCGCCCCGCGACCAGCUCACCCACGACGAAUCCUGGGCAUGGGCGUGGACGAAUGUGAAAGUGACAUCUCCUCAGCUCUCCCGGGAGGCCACCUACAAGCUCUCCCCGAAGAAAUCGACGUCCUCAAGGGAAUCUGCAAACCCUUUUGUGGAACAAGACAGUGCAAUUCUCGGUGGCAGCUGCGGAAGUGACAGUCGCUGACAAAGAGGGGAAGGAUGCACUGGACAAGCUUUGCUUUUGCAAGGUUGCAACGAUUUUUUAUUCCUAUAGAGAACAGAUUGAAGCACGUGGCCUCCCUCUAACUCCAGACCAGAAGUAUUGCUUUCGCUGCCUCCAUUCUGUCCAAUUACAUUUAAUUCAGAAGUUGCUAAUGGAAUUAUGGAACAAUGACUGGAGCAAACCUGAAGUUGCCAAAACUGGACUUGGGUCAUCAGCUGCCAUGACGACAUCAAUAGUUGCAGCUCUUCUUCACUAUCUUGGAGCUGUUAGCCUUUUAUGUUUGGGUGAACUUUCUAGUGACAGUGCAGCUGCACGAGAUCUUGACUUGCUGCAUGCAGUUUUGAUGCAGUUUCCUCAUUGAUUUUGGGUGAUGCAAGUGAUUCUGUAUCCAAAGCUUGGAGCUCAGCUGGUGUCCUCCCUCUUCUCGUUCGAGAAGAUCCCCGUGGUGACCCAGGAACAAGGGGUGUGUCAACCGAUGUAUCAUCAUACAGAUUAACUGAUACUGUUGCGGAAUUCCGUUAUAUUUAAAUUCAUGAUGUGUUCGUUUGGUGUCUC